AAGUCGUAACAAGGUUUCCGUAGGUGAACCUGCGGAAGGAUCAUUAACAUCGUGCGGCAACGCAAGUUGCCUAAACACGUCAUAUCAUUGCGAACCGUUCUCUUUUUUUUUCCUGCCGUUGGUGUAGAGUGAUGCGUGAGGGAAGGGUGUGAACUGUGUGUGUGUGUAUGUGUGGUUUACCAUUACUAACUACAUGCAGUUCUAACUCACAAGUCUACCAGUUCUCGAAACUGGAACUCGCACUAGCGGUAGCAGAUGAAUUUCGGCUGCGGGCCCGCGCCUUGGACUGCAGUUCGGAGUGCCCCUUUCUUUACAUUGUAAUUCAGACUGAACCCUGACGUUUGUACGAAUUCCUGGCUCUUUUGAGUCGGUUGAGUUUGUCCUUUCGUCGUAAAACAAAAACAAUAAACAACUCUUAGCAACGGAUAUCUUGGUUCUC
rnacentral:misc_RNA from 1 species